UUUUAAAAGUUAUUAAGGGCGUAUGGCGGAUGCCUAGGCUCUCAUAGGCGAAGAAGGACGUGACAAGCUGCGAUAAGUUUCGAUAAGGUGCAAAUAACCUUUGAGUCGAAAAUUUCCGAAUGGGGCAACCCAAUUAUUUGAAGAAUAAUUAUCCUAUUUAUAGGAAGCUAACCUGGUGAACUGAAACAUCUAAGUAACCAGAGGAAGAGAAAACAAUAGUGAUUCCCUGAGUAGUGGCGAACGAAAAGGGAACAGCCCAAACCAAGAUUAUUUCGGUAAUUUUGGGGUUGUAGGACUACAACGUGCAAUAUAAAUUUAUAAAAGAAUGUUUUGGAAAGAACAACCAUAGAGGGUGAUAGUCCCGUAUUUGAAAUAGAUUUAUUAGCUAGUAGUAUCCUGAGUAGGACGGAACACGUGAAAUUCUGUCUGAAUCCACCGGGACCAUCCGGUAAGGCUAAAUACUAAUGAGAGACCGAUAGUGAACAAGUACCGUGAGGGAAAGGUGAAAAGUACUCCGAACAGGAGAGUGAAAUAGAUCCUGAAACCAUACGCUUACAAGCGGUAGGAGCCAUUUUUAUGGUGACUGCGUGCCUUUUGUAUAAUGAACCUACGAGUUACUCCUCUCUAGCAAGGGUAAGAAUUUUUGAUUCGAAUCCGUAGCGAAAGCAAGUCUGAAUAGGGCGCUUAGUUAGAGGGGGUAGACGCGAAACCAAGUGAUCUACCCAUGGACAGGUUGAAACUCCGUUAACCCGGAGUGGAGGACCGAACCAAUAUACGUUGAAAAGUGUUUGGAUGAUCUGUGGGUAGGGGUGAAAGGCUAAUCAAACUUGGAAAUAGCUCGUACUCUCCGAAAUGCAUUUAGGUGCAGCCUCGAUAUUAUUGUCAUAGAGGUAGAGCUACUGAUUGGAUGCGGGGGCUUCAUCGCCUACCAAUUCCAGACAAACUCCGAAUGCUAUGACAUUUGAUCGGGAGUGAGGCAGUGGGUGCUAAGGUCCAUUGCCGAGAGGGAAACAACCCAGACUAUCAGCUAAAGUCCCUAAAUAUACG
rnacentral:rRNA from 1 species